AGAGCAACUCGGGACGGGCACAUCCAGUCCCCCCAUUUCUUUACACCUCCCGUAGCGCCGGCCCGGUGCAGUGCCCACCCCACCCCCGGAGGCAGUUGCUGGGUCACGUGCGUUUUGACACCGUGACUCACUCCAGGGCCUGGAGGAGCCUGCGGGCUGGCCUGGGAGAGGCCGCUGGAGCGCGGCGGGGGCCCAUCAAUGCCAGCGCAGCCUCCGUAUUCGUAGCGCGGUAGCGAGCCCGGGACUCCCCGCACGGUUGGCACAUGAGUCAGGCGAAAAUCUCCCCCUUUCCCAGCUUGGGGAAGCCCUCGCGGGUGGUGAAAUCUUCCGGCUGCCCUGGGUCCUCCCUUUGUCAUAUUUCCCCGCUCCCAAACUUCCUGCCUCCAGGCUGGCCCCACUGCUGGUGGAGGAGAGAGAGUGGGGGGACGAGGUCAUAUCUUCUUAUUGGACCAACGUCUGUUCAAUGCAGCAUGGUGGCCCCACUGCUGGUGGAGGAGAGAGAGUGGGGGGACGAGGUCAUAUCUUCUUAUUGGACCAACGUCUGUUCAAUGCAGCAUGGUGGUGAAGCUGCCGCUGACCAACUCAUCAAAUCCAGUGUUGUUCUAGCACACAAAGAAAUCUAAAACCCUCUGCAUUUAUCCACAUUGCCAGUCCUUUAUCCACAUUGCCAGUUCCUGUUUGGAUUUCUGGUAAGUUAGAUAUAAAUUGAUAGUGUUUGUCUACAGAACAUUUUAUAACUCUUUAGCCAUCGUAGAAAAUAUGUGCACAAAGCUAAACUUCUAGAUUUUAAUUUGAUGAAAAAUUUGCUGUGAGGUGGAGAUCAAAUGAGAAACUAACAUCAGCUUAAUCAAACUUGCUGUUUAGGGCAAACCUUAAUAGGGAGCAUAGUCUAAGAAAAAAGAGCAGCUCCAGAGACAAGGGGAAAAAACCUGCGAGCACGACUGCAUGAAAACUGCCACCCAACUUCAUAAAAACAAGCCAGCCUUGUUUAGUGCAUGCUAUUUUGGCAACCUCCUGGUUCCUUAAUUGUCUCUGACAGCUGUCUUCAGUGGAUGACUCAUUCACACAAGUUUCAGUGAGGUUUAACCCAAUGCAUAACUAGGUUUAACUCAACCCAUAAUAAUAGUGACCUCAGCAGCGUUAAUGGAGAAUAACUUCCCAAAGACAUGGAAUGUGUGACAGUUGAUAAGCAUAUGAGGUCACUGUUCAGGUUUUGCCUUAGACUACAAGUUUGAUGAAGUUAGGCGUAUAUAAUGCUUUUUGGUAUCUGUUGGAGAUGGAAGCAAAGGGAAUGUUGGGAGAGCAUUAUCAACGGUGUAAUAGUAGUGAAGGUGGAAAGGAACGUGCAAAGCUUUCCCUUUAACACCUUAGAGUAAACACUGGAAAAUUAGAUCCACCUAACUAUGUCUUUCAGGGUGUGAAAAAUCCAUACCCCUGAGUGACAUAAUUCAUCCAACCUAAGACCCAGUGUAGAUAGUGAAUGCUAAGUUGAUGGAACAAUUUUUCCAUUAACCUAGCUACCACCUCUCAGGGAGUUGAAUUACCUACACUGACGGGAGAACCCCUCUCAUUGGUGUAGGUAGUGUCUAUACUGAGGUGCUACAGCACUGUAGCUCCAGCUGCACCACUAGCAUUUCUAGUGUAGAUAGUCCCUAAAUUCUGUGCUUUUAAGGUUUUGGGUUGAUAGACUGUGUCCUGCCACAGCCUUAACUAUCUGUAGUUUUGUGUGCUAAUUUUAGAGAAACGUUAAACACAGUACUAAAGUGAUCAUGCUUCCACUACACAGCCCAGACAAACUGUGUUUAAACUGUGGUUAUGAUUACAAGAACCAUUUUUAAACCAGCUGGACUAAUAAAACACUGUUACCAUACAAAUGUUAGCAAAGCAGAACUACUUGCAUAGCGGAGAGGGACUUUCACAUGCAUAGGUGGUGUCUAUUUUUAUCUGUGCCCUCCAACACCCAAGGUCUUGUGUUCCGAAAAAAAUCAAGAUGCAAUUUCCUAUACAGUCUGAGCAGCAUGGAAUUGUGUCUUAGGGCUGGCCUACACACAGUUUUGGUAUAGCUGGUAUAACUAUAUUGGUUUAGAACUGAUAUAUUUAAACCUGUUGGACAAACAAAACACUGUUACCAUAACCAUAACUUUUCUUGAUGUCGGGUAGGCCGGUAGAUGCAUUCCUAGAUGUUCAAGUUAUAGAAGACACAUCGGCUGCAUCUGUUACAACCCACAUCUUAGAGUUAAAUGCUUGUCAGUUGGACCCCAAACAGAUGGCUGCUUGUGCAUUUGUUGGAGCUGCAAACUUUCUGGAAGAUGUGGUGGAGUAUAAGCUUUGCUCAGAGAAAAGUGUAACUCUGAUCUCUCCUAUACACACUGCAGAGGCCAUCUACUCCAACUGGCACUAGUACGAGCUGCAGAAUCUUCUGAAGACAUUAAAAAAGCUAUAAAUUUAAUGUCUUCAUUAUAUUCUUUUUUCAGCAAGAGUCCAAAAAGACUGAAUAUCUUGGAAAAUAUAGAAGAUACACUGGGACUGGAGUUCAAAUUAGUCCAACCUGGGAAAACCCGCUGGCUUUCUCAUGAGCGAUCCUUGGCUGUUGUCUUAAAAUUCCACCAGCCAUUAUUGCUGGCUUUGGAAAGUAUCUACCAAGAUGGAAUGGAUCUAAGUAGUGAGGCUGGUGGAUUAGUUUUGCUACUACAUUCAGAGAAGACUAUUGCCAUUCUCUCCCUCGUAAGUCUACUGUUGAAACCUCUUGGGUCAUUAAACAAUGCCAUCCAGGCAUCUACUACAACAGUAGUAGAUCUUUGUCCAGCAAUAGAAGUUACAUUUGGAUCAAUCAGAGAGCUAUCCAUUGAAAAAGUACUGGAAGAAGCAAAAAUUUCAGUCCAGAAGUUGACUAAUGAAGGCAUUUAUAGAGGGAUAGCUCAGGGGUUUGAGCAUUGGCCUGCUAAAGCCAGGCUUGUGAGUUCAAUCCUUGAGGGGGCCAUUUAGGGAUCUAGGGCAAAAAUUGGGGAUUGGUCCUGCUUUGAGCAGGGGGUUGGACUAGAUGAUCGGCUGAGGUCCCUUCCAACCCUGAUAUUCUAUGAUCUUAAAAUAAUCCUUAAGUGAAGAGGACAAGAAGUAUUUAAGACAACUGAAAACAUACACAGACUUACAGAUGCCUGUCCCAUAAAACACCAAAAGUUGAGUGGAGUGAGGCACUACCAGCAAUGGGGCUGCCGUGUGCUCAGGACGGAAUAGAGAAUUUGAACACAGUGGAAUAUCAUACAAUGAAUGAAUGAAUGAUUUGACUUCAACUUCUUUUUUUAUCAUCACUAGUGGCUCGACCUGAUCUUUGUGCUAUGUCUCCUGGGAUGAAAGAAGUAGGAAUUCAUCUCUUGCUACUUCCAGUCACAACAGCUACAAUUGAGUGUUGUUUUUCAUCAUUGACUAGAAUUUUGUGUUCUGAAAGUAGUCGCCUUCUGCCUGAUCAUGUGAAUGAACUAAUAAGCAUAUCAAUUGAAGGAAUGGAAGUACCGGACACACGAGAAGCCACCGAAGAUGAACGCAUUACAUUCAAGAAAUUCAUUAACAGAGUUGUGCAAAAUUAUAACAAGAAACCAAGAAGGAUGUAGGCAUAGUGCUUCAUAGAAGGCUUGAGUAGCCAACUUUAAUUUGUGUGAUUUUGAAACAUGACUUAAAUCUAAUAAAUGGUCAUGAAACAUU